AAUUAUAUUUAGUCAUUCUUCCUUUAAUGGACAUGUCGUAUUGUGUUACUUUCUCUUCCCGUAAGUUCUUCAUGUUGGUCAUUAUUUUCGUUGUGAAACCAUGGACCACGGAUGGUCAAACAUAAUAUGUAUUUUGUAGAAUAUAUUAAUAUUAUCGAGGUAGGCCUAUAUAUAUUGAACGCCGAUUCCCCCCCCCCCCCCCACCACUGCCAAAUCUGCUGCAACCAUGUUAACAAGUCGGAGAUGAUCUUAUUCAUAACCUAUAUAACUAAUAACGACUGCGAAUCCUACUUAAAUUUUAACUCAUCUUCUUUUUUCUGUUCCAUUGAUGCAGACAAGAUCCCUGGCAAGUGGCAAAGAUGAUCAAAAUGUAUAUGCAACAACAUAACAUCCCUCAGAGAGAAGUGGUAGAUGCCACGGGUCUCAACCAAUCACAUCUCUCGCAGCAUUUGAAUAAGGGAACGCCCAUGAAGGGCAUCAAGCGGGCUGCUCUUUAUAACUGGUUUGAUCAGAAACAAAGAGAAGUUACAAAACAAUUCACGAAUCCUGAGACUGGUCACUACUACAACGUGCAGACUACAGAUGAAAAUCCCGCCAAAAGACAGCGAAGAAAUCGUUUUAAAUGGGGUCCAGCCUCCCAAAGGAUCCUCUAUCAUGCAUACAAUCAGAACAGAAACCCGAGCAAAGAAGAAAGAGAAAACCUUGUCAUACAGUGCAAUGCAGCGGAAUGUAUGCAGAGGGGCGUGUCACCAUCGCAGGUUGGGGGCCUGGGUUCGAAUCUCGUCACAGAGGUGAGGGUCUAUAACUGGUUUGCUAAUCGACGAAAAGAAGAAGCCUUCAAAAACAAACUUGCCACGGAUGGGAUAAAUACAACAACCAGUGUCAGCUUCCAGCAACAAGGCACUGUAGAUACAAUAACUACCAACAGUGCUGAGAUGAUGAUAGGAGAUCUCAUCGGGCAAGCUACGGGGACACUUCAACCCACUAUCACGGUCGCUGCUCCUCAGAAUGGUAUUCUGCAUCAAGCAAACUCCGUAUCGCUGUCACAGCUGCAAGCCAUGCAUGACAGCGUGGCGAUCGGGGUUGCUCAGGCGGCUGGAGCAGGCGGGAUGCAUAUGACCAUGUCCACUCAAGCAAUUGGGGGACUUAAGAAUGAAGGGCAUAAUUUGAGUACGAAGCUGCCAUCAAUGGGCGGUUUAUCUCGAUCUGGCUACACAUCUCGUAAUCUCUUAACCGCUACGUCACAAAGCAACACGUCCUACGGAUACGCCAAUGAUACCAAUAGUCAACAAAUCAACUAUAACCAAACUAUGCCACAGCAAGGCCUACAUCAAGACGGCAGCUCUCGGCUGGGACAUCGCUCUCACCAACCCUCAACAACAAUGCAAGCACUUCAGCAACAUCAAACACAAUCGACUUUGCAUCAGAUGAUGAGAAAUAAUCGGCAGCAGUUGCAACAACAGCAACAGCAACAUGUCUCGCAGAUGAACGAGAACACCACAUCUCGGGCACUGAGUCAGCUGCAAUCACAACAUCUCCAGCAACAGCAGCAACAUCAGCAGCAGCAACAGCAACAACAUCAUUCACAACAACAGCAUCAACUUCAGCAAUACAACAUCGACCCGGGAUUACUGCAACAAAUCUCACAAGUCAUUAAUUCUCAAAGCCAACUUCAAAACGCCAGCCACCUUCAACUUGCCUCACCAACUCAGCAACAACAGCAGCAGCAACAACAACAACAUACCACAACUGUGGGCCAACAAAUCUUGCCUGAAUUCACCCUGCCUCUUAAUGCUAUCACCGCCAUCUCGUCGCAGAGCCCCUCCAAGCUGGAAACGAGUGAGCUCCAGAUGCUCGUCAUGGCGCAUCCUGUCAAGGGUCAAGGGUCAGUGACCGGAAAUCACACCACCGUGGUCACUACAUCAGGAAGUGACAUUGGGUCAACGAACAUCAGUAUCAAACAGGUCACACCUUCAUCUUGUGCUAAUGAUUCUUCGAAUAGAUCAUCUGAAGAUCUUGAUUUACCAAGUCGUGUACUUGACUUCACUAGCAGUAUCGCAGACAGUACGGUAACCAAUCAGCUUCAUACGAGUCAGAUCAAAGUCCACCGAAACACAAGAAGAGACGAACAUACAACAUUGCCAGCUAAUAAUGCCACCCUCGAAGGAUACUCCGUGGCUACACGUGUAGUGCCUGUUACUGCGAACAUAUGAAGUCCACACAUUCCAUUCUCAUUUCAAACACCGUGACAAUUUAUAUUGUGAUUAAAAAACUCAAUUUUUUAAUCAAGCUCACUAUUUAGAUUUGCUUCUAGUGAGCUUAUUAAUUGUGAGUCGCCGAGUGAAUCUGAGGUUCAUGAAGAAACGAUGGUAGAAUCGAAGGAGAAUAGUAUUUGAUGGAUGCAAAUGUAUCUAAUGUGGAAAUUCAAAGACAAUCGUCGACUUUAGUGUAUAGCACCACUAAUUUUAAUUCUAACGUGUCAAAGACUUAAAGAUGAUAAAGGACAGAUUGGAAUAAUGAAAACCAAAAUAAUCGAAUAUAAAUUUCAAUAUGUAACCAUCAGAAGGCUGGGGAGCAAAGAACAGUUUAAAUGAAAACUUUUGUUAUUAUUUCACGAAGAAACCGAAGGGAACUGAUGGCGAUAUAUAAUGAACGAUACGGAAUGAAAUGUUGAAGGUUUUUUCAGGAUAAAUUGAUUCAUCUUUUAUCAGGAAUGAACACGUCAUUGAUGACUGAUUGCUGAUCUGUUGAAGUUGAUUCCAUGUUGGAAUAGAUAGCGUUUUCAUUGUGUCGAACUAUCAUAAUGGACGUGGAUUUAAGAUGAGCAGCUAAUGACGCAAGCGAAUUAAUUCAAACUCACUGUGGAAAUCAUGAUAUUUAUUCUGAUUAGUAUAGCGAGCCUAUAUUACACUGCAUGGACAAGCAGGUUAAAUAAAUCACAAUGAAUAAUUUUGAAUAGUCUGAUUGGGGUUUAUGCACAUAAGGAUACCAGAUGUGAUUUUUAAGACUCAUCGUGCAUUGUCUAAGGAAUAACAUUGUCACCGACAUAGCAACGAUUCACCAAUAUCAUGGGGAUCCGUGAUCGACGAACUCAUUAACUGUUAUGAUAUGGACUCGACAGAAGUGACAAAUGAGUGAAAAUAAAGCAGAUCAGGAAAUGAUAUAACUUAUGAUAACAAGGUUUAUAUUUAUAAAAACAGUAUAAUAGGUCAAAAUCUGAUCACGAGGUUAUACAUUCGAUCGAUAUAGGUUAUAAUCUGAUCACGAGGUUAUACAUUCGAAGGAUAUAGGUUAUAAUCUGAUCACGAGGUUAUACAUUCGAUCGAUAUAGGUUAUAAUCAGAUCACGAGGUUAUACAUUCUAUCGAUAUAGGUCAUAAUCUGAUCACGAGGUUAUACAUUCGAUCGAUAUAGGUUAUAAUCAGAUCACGAGGUUAUACAUUCUAUCGAUAUAGGUCAUAAUCUGAUCACGAGGUUAUACAUUCUAUCAAUACAGGUUAUAGUCUGAUCACGAUUGUUGGGUUGAGUUAAGUGUGGAGGUGGCGCUAUCCAUCGAUAUCCGAUGAUUUCCGCCAGGCUAAGCGAGAGGGAUUCCACCCUCCCCUGUACAGCUCUGGUCAUUCGAUUAAUUGUUAAUUGCACUGUGUGUGAGAUAUAGAUUCACCGAGGAAAGGCGUUGUGUAGUAUUCAAAUCACGAGGUUAUACAUUCGACCGAUAUAGGUCAUUAUCUGAUCACGAGGUUCUACAUUCGAUCGAUAUAGGUCAUAAUCUGAUCACGAGGUUACAUUCAAUCGAUAUAGGUUAUAAUCUGAUCACGAGGUUAUACAUUCUAUCGAUAUAGGUCUUAAUCUGAUCACGAGGUUAUACAUUCGAUCGAUAUAGGUCAUAAUCUGAUCACGAGGUUAUACAUUCUAUCAAUACAGGUUAUAGUCUGAUCACGAUUGUUGGGUUGAGUUUAUAUUCAAAUCACGAGGUUAUACAUUCGACCGAUAUAGGUCUUAAUCUGAUCACGAGGUUAUACAUUCGACCGAUAUAGGUCAUAAUCUGAUCACGAGGUUCUACAUUCGAUCGAUAUAGGUUAUGAUAUGAUCACAAGGUUACACAUUCAAACGAUACAGGUUAUGAUAUGAUCACGAGGUUAUAUAUACGAAUGAUAUAGGUUAUGCUAUGAUCACGAACUUAUACCAUACAAACGAUAUAUGUUAUGAUAUGGUCACGAGGUUAUCUAUACGAGCGAUACAGGUUAUGAUUAUGAUCACAAGGUUAUACAUUCGAACGAUAUAAGUUAUAAUUAUGAUCACGAGGUUACACGUAGGACACGAUAUGAUAACAAGGUCACACAUACGAACGAUAUAGGUGUGUUAUGAUCACGAGGUCUUACGAACGGUAUCAAUACUACAUUUGAGAUUUGUAUAAUACUAUGAUACUAAACAAAUUGUAGAGGUAAACUAGAAGCGAUUGUUCUUUGUAUUAUUUAUAUUGAUAAAUUUAAAAUGACAGGCGAAACAAUGUGAAAUAAUUUACUAAAUGUCAAAUAUUUCCAGAAAAUUGCCAUAUUUAUCACAAUCGAACUGAUUUACAAAAAAUAUUGCCUAUGGAUUUGUAAAAUGCAUCUUGUUGUAAAAUUACCAUAUUGUUAUGGUUUUAAGACAAUUUGCUAUCACUAUCCAUGAUGUUUCUGAUUGAGAAAGCCAAUCUCCGAAGAUUCCUUCAUUCAAGGUGCUUGCAAAGCUCGAUAUUAUGUACAAUAAUCAUUUAUUUUUAUCAAACCAAAAGAAAAUAAUUAUACCAAAGAAGUAUGGCAAAGUACUUUCCUGUGAAAUGUCGAUUGUAUUUAAUACCAGUUUACGAUUUCAUUAUAUUUAAUUACAGAAAACAAUAAACCAAAGUGAUUGAUACGGAAUGACAACAAUUAUACUCGUAAAAGGUCAAUUGUAUUUCCAUUUAAUAUUUUACAUUCGCUUAUUAUGUUGUUGCUUGUAUUAGGCAUUCAUUCGUAUUUACGCCUGGGUAAUUUUCUUUAUAUGAAUUCAUAAUGCUUUUAAUCUGUGUAUUCAUUGUGUUCAUCAAUUUCUAUCAUUUUCAAUCCAAGCAAACCGUUUUCAGUAUAUGUAUGGUGAUGAAGCCUUUGUAAAAUAUUUAACAAAACCUUGCCAGUAUUUUUCAUAGCGGUACAAAUUAUUAAAAAGUAGUAAAAUUUGCAUAGUAGGCCUACAUUUACGAUUCAAUUUUUGUCGUACAAUAUAUAGUAAUUGAUCACGAAUAUUAGUUCCGUUCGUUUAAAUACCUAGAUAAAAUCAUUUAUGAUGAUAUAUGUAAUACGCGAAAUAUUACUAACAUGAUUAAUUUCGAAGUAUAGUAACAAACUGACACCAUAUUCAAAAGAAGAAGACAUAAGUUGUUAGAGUAAGUAUAAAAGAAAACAGAAUAAAACGGAGAUAGGGAAGAUAAAGAUAGUAAGAAAAUAGUAUAGGGGGAAAUAAAGGUAUAUGAAAAAGGACAAGGGGGAAUAAGUGAGAAAAAUAAAUAAAUAAAGAAGAACAAUAUUCAGAGCAAAAGAAACAGAGAAAUACUAGUACAUUCCAAUAUAGAAAUGUGCAAUGGAUUGUUUUGUUUUGUCAACGUUACAAUAGCCGUCACGUGACAAGAAUGGAAGCCAAGCAAAUGAUUUUUUUUAUAAGACAAAUAUGACAGUUCUCAUAGAUUGUGCUUGCAUGCUAGCCACAAUUACUAUAGUAGAAUAUAUCCAAACCAUAAUUUGAGGGUCAAUAUUUGCUAACGCUUUGGUGGAUAAAACUCAGUGUUAUAUGUGUAAGGGUUUAGGGGAAAUAGCAGUAGUUUGCGUUCAUGGAGAUAGUGUGCGUUUGGUGUAAUAUACUGCAGUGAACACAAACCUAAAUAUAAUGAUCAGUAUAAAAUAAUCCCCUGAACUGAAUUUCAUACUGAGGUUUUGGCAGGUGCUAAUCUGAGGAUAGGGGGGGGGGGCAUGGGAGGUACUCUUAUUUUUAUAAGCCUUGCUGACUCAAAUUUUGAGUUAAAAUCAAGUAUGGAGUACAACUUUGAGCACGUUGUUUAAGCCAGUCACUCGAACAAUAAGUUGUUUAAACUUUUUGAGAAUUGUUUAAACUUUCUUUUAAAUAUCUUGUUUCAAACUUUAAACAAAUAGUUGAUAGAGCAACUUUCUGAUUUUAUUGAAAAUUCAUUCCUAUUAAGAAGAUAUUGAAAUUGUUACUUUAAUUUUUUAUAAUGAAUAUUGUAUCUCAUGUUAUAGACCAAAGACGCCUUUGUUGUGUAUUUGUACUUUCUUGGCGAUAUAAGAACUAUCCAGACUGUAAACUAUCUGUUCUGUGAAUAACUGAACAUGUGCUUAUCAUGUGAAUGAAAUAACAUUUUCUGUUAUAGAAUGAUUUUUAAAUAUACGUGGAACGUGAUUUUUGUGUAUAUAUUGGAUGAUCAUGUCAGAAUCUUAAAAAUGUUAUCCUUAAUAUGGGACUGCGAUGUUUGUAAAUAGGUGUAGAUAUCAUAUUUAUGAAAUAGCGUUUUGACGCAUGUGCUUUGUUAUAUGUGAAUGUGUUCGUGCUAAAACGAUGAAAUUACAGUUAGUCGUGUGCGUACGUAUGACAAACC